CCUUCACUGAAAGAUUACACCGAGGAAAUAGGUGAAAAAAUAGUUUUUAUGUUUAUAUACUAUCUGUUGAAUCCCCCUGGCUUCUUCGUGUGUAUACUUUUCUAUGUUUUGACUCCCCUUAGUGAAAACAUAGCUCCGUCACUGAAGUCCGUCGAGGUACUAACAAAUGCAUGAGCAGGUAAAACUUCUGCAGUAUAAUUAGGUAAUAUGGCAAUAGAAUCUGUCAAAUAUGUUCACGCAUGCAAACUACUUCAUUGGGUGGGGGGGGGGGGGGGGGGAAAGGCUCAUUUUCAGUGCACUAUACAAGAAGAACACAAGCCUUGACCUGAAAAGGCGGAAAUGAAUCACACUGUUACAAUGAAAGCAAUUUGCAUAGGAAAGACGAGCAGUUUCACGAGUUCUAGCAAGUCAGCAGAAAGAACACUAAAUCUUUUAUGAGUCUGUCAGUGGCGGAGCCAUCUUGUUCCAAGGGGUAUUGAUCGACACCCCUUCACUGAAAGAUUACACCGAGGAAAUAGGUGAAAAAAUAGUUUUUAUGUUUAUAUACUAUCUGUUGAAUCCCCCUGGCUUCUUCGUGUGUAUACUUUUCUAUGUUUUGACUCCCCUUAGUGAAAACAUAGCUCCGUCACUGAAGUCCGUCGAGGUACUAACAAAUGCAUGAGCAGGUAAAACUUCUGCAGUAUAAUUAGGUAAUAUGGCAAUAGAAUCUGUCAAAUAUGUUCACGCAUGCAAACUACUUCAUUGGGUGGGGGGGGGGUGGGGGUGAAAGGCUCAUUUUCAGUGCAAUAAACUAUAGCAAGUAGGACACUUUGCAGUCAACAAGAUGUAAUACAGCACAAUUCAAAGAAGAUACUACAAACAUCUGCUUGAGUAUAA
rnacentral:lncRNA from 1 species